AUUGAACGCUGGCGGAAUGCUUUACACAUGCAAGUCGAGCGGCAGCGCGGGGGCAACCCUGGCGGCGAGCGGCGAACGGGUGAGUAACAUAUCGGAACGUACCCUGUCGUGGGGGAUAACUAUCCGAAAGGAUAGCUAAUACCGCAUACGACCUGAGGGUGAAAGCGGGGGACCGCAAGGCCUCGCGCGAUAGGAGCGGCCGAUAUCGGAUUAGCUAGUUGGUGAGGUAAAGGCUCACCAAGGCGACGAUCCGUAGCGGGUCUGAGAGGACGACCCGCCACACUGGAACUGAGACACGGUCCAGACUCCUACGGGAGGCAGCAGUGGGGAAUUUUGGACAAUGGGGACAACCCUGAUCCAGCCAUUCCGCGUGAGUGAAGAAGGCCUUCGGGUUGUAAAGCUCUUUCAGCAGGAACGAAACGGUGAGGGUUAAUACCCUUUACUAAUGACGGUACCUGAAGAAGAAGCACCGGCUAACUACGUG
rnacentral:rRNA from 1 species